UACGUAGGGUGCAAGCGUUGUCCGGAAUUAUUGGGCGUAAAGAGCUCGUAGGCGGUUAGUCACGUCGGCUGUGAAAACCCGCGGCUCAACCGUGUGGUCUGCAGUCGAUACGGGCAGGCUAGAGUUCGGUAGGGGAGACUGGAAUUCCUGGUGUAGCGGUGAAAUGCGCAGAUAUCAGGAGGAACACCGGUGGCGAAGGCGGGUCUCUGGACAGUUCCUGACGCUGAGGCACGAAGGCCAGGGGAGCAAACGGG
rnacentral:rRNA from 1 species